AUUGAACGCUGGCGGCAGGCCUAACACAUGCACGUCGAGCGAGCGGCGGAAGGGUGAUUAAUGUAUUGGGCCUGCCCCAUGGCGGUGGAUCACUCCUGGAAACGGUAGCUAAUACCGCAUACUAUCGUAUCAUCCAUAUGGGAUUAGCGAGUAGGUGAGGUAAUGGCUCCCCUAGGCGACGAUCCAUAGCUGGGCUGAGAGGAUGAUCAGCCACACUGGUACUGAGACACGGCCCAGACUCCUACGGAGGCAGCAGUGGGGAAUAUUGCACAAUGGGCGCAAGCCUGAUGCAGACAUGCCGCGUGUAUGAAGAAGGCCCUAGGGUUGUAAAGUACUUUCAGUCGGGAGGCGUUACCGACAGAAGAAGCACCGGCUAACUCCGUGCCAGCAGCCGCGGUAAUAC
rnacentral:rRNA from 1 species